CCUACGGGUGGCAGCAGUGGGGAAUAUUGGACAAUGGGCGAAAGCCUGAUCCAGCCAUGCCGCGUGGAUGAUGACGGCCCUAGGGUUGUAAAGUCCUUUCGACGGGGAAGAUAAUGACGGUACCCGUAGAAGAAGCCCCGGCUAACUUCGUGCCAGCAGCCGCGGUAAUACGAAGGGGGCUAGCGUUGCUCGGAAUCACUGGGCGUAAAGCGCACGUAGGCGGCUUUCUAAGUCAGGGGUGAAAUCCUGGAGCUCAACUCCAGAACUGCCUUUGAUACUGGAGAGCUUGAGUUCGGGAGAGGUGAGUGGAACUGCGAGUGUAGAGGUGAAAUUCGUAGAUAUUCGCAAGAACACCAGUGGCGAAGGCGGCUCACUGGCCCGAUACUGACGCUGAGGUGCGAAAGCGUGGGGAGCAAACAGGAUUAGAUACCCUAGUAGUC
rnacentral:rRNA from 1 species